GUGCAGCAGGCGAGAAUUUUUCUCAAUGGGGGAAACCCUGAAGGAGCGACGCCGCGUGGAGGAUGAAGGCUUUCGGGUUGUAAACUCCUGUCAUUUGAGAACAAGUGGCCGAACGUAACUACUUCGGCCUUGAUAGUAUCAGAAGAGGAAGGGACGGCUAACUCUGUGCCAGCAGCCGCGGUAAUACAGAGGUCUCAAGCGUUGUUCGGAUUCAUUGGGCGUAAAGGGUGCGUAGGUGGCGCCGUAAGUCAGGUGUGAAAUUUCGGAGCUUAACUCCGAAACUGCAUUUGAUACUGCGGUGCUUGAGGACUGGAGAGGAGACUGGAAUUUACGGUGUAGCAGUGAAAUGCGUAGAGAUCGUAAGGAAGACCAGUGGCGAAGCGGGUCUCUGGACAGUUCCUGACACUGAGGCACGAAGGCCAGGGGAGCAAACGGGAUUAGAUACCCCUGUAGU
rnacentral:rRNA from 1 species